UCAGUUCUGCCGUGCCAUUAUUUCCUUGACUGGAGUCUGCUCAAACAUUUUUUGCACAAAAGUUUUUCCAUGCACAUUUAUCUUUAGUUCAUUUGACUUGUGGUACUAAUGCAAAAUUGCAAGACAGGCGCUUGUGAGUGUGUGUGGUUGUGUGUACGCAUGGUUUAUAUGUGAGUGAGUGAGUGAGUGAGUGAGUGAGUGAGUGAGUGAGUGAGUGAGUGAGUGAGUGAGUGAGUGAGUGAGUGAGUGCGUGCGUGCGUGCGUGCGUGCGUGCGUGCGUGCGGUGUUUGUGUGAUUAGAUAUCCACCUGCUUGAAGGUGGGUCAGUUUGAGCUGGUUCUGUGUAAUUGAUGCUCAUUGGUUGACCUGAGGUACAUUAACAAGAUGUUAUGAGACGUGUCGGCGAUACUUAAAAAAACAUACCUGGCUUGAGUUUGCCUUGGUUAAAAAUUGUGGUAUACAGUGUGGUUUUCAAUAACAGUUUGACCUGCUGCUGUUUCAACCUGAAGAAGAAUCUAAAUUGUACAGGUCUGGAGGAUUCGUGUUAUAUAGAGUGAGAUAUCUGCCGAAACGUUAAACGAACGUAAUGUUAGAGUCAAAAAUACAUUUUUGGAGAUCUCUAACUCCAUACUGUUCCAAGUCAAUAUGAAUGGAUGACUAGUACAUGCCAUUUAACCCUAGCAUAGCAAUGUAUAUACAUAGACCUACACCUUAGUAGAUUGACUCUCAAAACAUUUGCAGAUUCGGGUUAUUAAUGAAAAGCAUACAUAUGAUAUAUUAGAUUACUAUUUUGUUUUUCUUUUUGAGUGGCCUUUUCUUCUCUAUUUUCUUUUCUUUUUAUGUGAAUUAAUGUAUCAAUCAUUGCAUAACUGCUGUUGCUGAUCGAUAUAACGGACAAGGCUUUCAUACAUUGAUCAAAUCAAACAAAAUUAUGAUUUUUGUUUCUUCAUACUUAUGAUUUGUAUACUGUACCAAGACUGACCGAACAAAUACAAUGAAAUGAAUUUCACCAUCAAUUGUAGAUUGAGCUGGGAAAUAUGCCUUGGGUUACAAUAGUACAUACACACUGUACUAUUUAGAAUUACAAAUAAAUAGAUUAUACAAAAAAUAUAUAUUUCAAAUGUGCAAUAUAGCAUUCAUCAAACUUCAUUAUGCAUUUUUUUAUUUUCAAAAGUUUAGUGAUAAUGAUUGGGAAUUAUUUAGGGUUACAUCAUUGAUGAUUAAUGAAUCCCCAAUUGCACUGAGACCAAAGACCCAUCCCAAAGUUUAUUUUGUCAGCAUACUACAAUGUUCUCUACCAUGGAGACCUGCUCUCUACUCUGUGUCCAAUGUUCACAAUCUCUCACUUCAUUCCCCACCAAGUCCUAAUCUAUCUUGCCCUUUAACGUUGAAUCAAACCACUAUUUUCAUAUUGCACUCACCACUGAGCACACCGCCACAGACCUACAUUCAACUCAAAACACACGCAGAGACAUAGGCACACACUCACGCAGACAUACGCACACCGACGCAUGCAACGUACGCACACACACACACGCGCGCGCGCACAUGCUCGUAUAGGAUGAAUGAUUCAUCAGCUGCUCAAGAACUCAACACAACCCCAUUCAUAACAAGUCCAUCUACAGAGGUGGAGUUACUGAGUGCAGCAACCCUCUACUGAACAUUACGAUUAUUUUCCAAAACAGUGUUAGAGUCGAUGGGCCGGACACGUGACUACCCUCAUAGCUUUUCCAUGCCUACAGCCAAAUGCUGUAGUCCCAAAUGCUACCCUAUUCCCUACAAAGUGCACUAUACAGGGAAUAGGGUGCCAUUUGGGAUGCUGGCACUGCUUUGAGAUUGGCUCAGUCUUCCCUUGUGGAGAAAUGCUGUGUUGUUUGAGCUCUCUGGGACAUCUGCUUGUUCUGCUGCCACCUAAAGCUGUAAAUGUUUUUAUAACUACUCAAACCUGUGUCCCAAAUGGCAUUAUAUUCCCUAUUUAGUGCGCUACUUUGGACCAGGGCCCAUAGGGCUCUAGUGAAAAGCAGUGUACUAUAAAGGGAAUAGGUUGCCAUUUUGGACGCAGAUGAAGUGGACUGAGGAUGGAUCUGAAAGAGGGGUUUGAGUUUUGGAAACAAACUUGGAGGAUGAAGUGGGGGGCAUUCAGUAGGCCUAAGUGUUCAGUCUGCGUUAGACAGUGAGUGCAACACUUUCAAACUAGGUGUUUGGGAGAAGAAACCUAUUCAAGUUACUCCAGUAAUCACUGAAUGGCCUGAUUGCUUUUAACCAACAUUCUCUUAACAUGCUUUUUUUAGAAUAAGAAAAGCAACAUUUGCUGCGUUUAGACAGGCAGACCAAUUCUGAUCUUUUUCCCACUAAUUGGUCUUUUGACCAAUCACAUCAGAUCUUUUCACAUCAGAUCUUUGUCAAAAGACCAAUUAGUGAGAAAAAAAUAUAAGAAUUAGGCUGCCUGUCUAAACGCAGCCGUUGUGCUGUUGUUGAGAUUAGAAUACUGCAGAGUGCUGUUGCUUUUUCUACAGACGAAUGACUUAAAACGAACAAUGUAGCUCAUACAGGUACAAGUCUUGUUCCACGGUGAUUGCCUGAACUCAAAAUGGAGGACGGAGGAAGAUUCACAUUUCUUCUAAGCUGUGACCCUAUGUUUUGUUUCCGAUCUCAUUACAAAACUCUUUAGGACAUGACAACGAGAGACUCAAAAAUCACACAGUACCCUAGCUGUCUGUAAUUUCUGUAACUACUGUCAUUUUGAUUACAUUUGAAAUAAAGAAUGUUGUUUAAA
rnacentral:lncRNA from 1 species